GACAAAAUUGCAAAUUGGCUAGGGAUGUUUCCGAUCAUGUAUCUAUCUGGAGGCACCUGCGUGGCCUUGAUAGUGAUUGGUGGAGGCACUUCCAAGCUCUUCUUCCAAACUUUAUGUGGGGCCGCAUGCACUUCUAAGCCAUUGACAACAGUUGAAUGGUUCUUGGUGUUCACAUGUGCUGCUGUGCUGCUAUCUCUCCUGCCAAACUUGAACUCCAUAGCUGGAGUUUCACUGAUUGGAGCUAUCACUGCGGUUGGGUACUGCACAGCGAUUUGGGUGGUUUCUGUAUCAGAAGGCAGGCUUCCUGGAGUUUCAUAUGAUCCCAUUAGAGCUCCGAAUGAUGUGGAUGGGGUGUUUAGUGUGCUCAAUGCCCUUGGGAUCAUUGCUUUUGCCUUCAGAGGUCACAAUCUUAUCCUUGAGAUUCAGGUAAUUGAUCAUUUUCAUCUUAAUUAUUCACUAAAUUUUAAUUGAAUUAUUUUUAUAGAUUAAUUUGAGUUGGUGCUUUCAACUCCCAAUGCUUUGGCCAGUGAGAACCUGCAAAAUUGGUCAAAGCAUAUAUUUUUUAGGGUUUUUGAAGUCAGAGAUUGAUGCCUAACUAAUUAAAUUAUUAAAUGUGCACUACAAGUCUAUGCAUGUUAUUGCUUUUACACAUAGAAAUUGACAGUUUUGACCAACUUGAACAUCUUCAUAUGAAUAAGAAUCCAACUGUCAAUGAAAAAAAAAUUUGAGAGAAUGCUUAGACGCAUGCAGAUGUAGUACAACUGUUCUAACAAUUGGAAUAGUUUUAAUUUUCCCAGUUGAAUAUUUAAUUAAAACCAACCAUGACCAAUCAUGAAUCUUUAUCUUUAUAUAAUUAAAAUUGUGCAAAUUCAUGCUUUAAAUUUUUUUUUUUAAAGGCUUGAUCUUUAAGGAUUCUUUUGCCUUUACAAUAAUAGUUUGUGCAUCAAAUCAAAAAGUAAAAUUUAAAUAAAAGUGUGGGGGUCCUCAACUCUUAACUUAUCAUGAUCAUCCCCAUCACCUAGGUUGAAUAACAUUAAGUUGGAAUUAUUCAAAUCAUAGAAUUAGCUUUCUGAAUUCAAUGUUUUUGUGUUGCAGGCCACCAUGCCUUCCAGUGAGAAACAUCCCUCACAUGUGCCCAUGUGGAGAGGAGUGAAGGUGUCCUAUUCAAUCAUUGCUGCAUGCUUGUUUCCCCUUGCAAUUGGAGGCUACUGGGCUUAUGG
rnacentral:lncRNA from 1 species